rnacentral:tRNA from 1 species
AGCGCGAUAGCUCAGCGGGUAGAGCAUCUGCCCGGAAUGCGGAGUGUUGCCGGUUCUAGACCGGCUUGCGGCU